ensembl:rRNA 5S_rRNA 5S ribosomal RNA
GCUUACAGCCAUGCCACACUGAGCACGCCCAAUCUCAUACAAUCUUGGAAGCUAAGCAGUGCCCGGCCUGGUUAGUGCUUGGAUGGGAGACCACCUGGGAAAACCAGGUGCUGUAAAAU